rnacentral:rRNA from 1 species
CGGCGGACGGGUGAGUAACGCGUGGGUAACCUGCCUCAUACAGGGGGAUAACAGUCAGAAAUGACUGCUAAUACCGCAUAAGACCACGGUACCGCAUGGUACAGUGGUAAAAACUCCGGUGGUAUGAGAUGGACCCGCGUCUGAUUAGGUAGUUGGUGGGGUAACGGCCUACCAAGCCGACGACCAGUAGCCGACCUGAGAGGGUGACCGGCCACAUUGGGACUGAGACACGGCCCAG